AUCGCUUCUCGGCCUUUUGGCUCAGAUCAAGUGUAGUAUCUGUUCUUAUCAGUUUAAUAUCUGAUACGUCCCCAUCGGGGACUACAUAUUAAAUGGAUUUUUCGAACAGGGAGUCGGAAAUGGGGCUUGCUCCGUCCGCUCCACGCAUCGACCCGGUAUUGCAGUACUCUCCGGGAAUGGUGCAACACUU
rnacentral:snRNA from 1 species